UUUUUUUUUUUUGGUCAAUUGUGAUAGGAACUACAAGAUAAACUAGACAUGAUGAACAAGGAACAACCAACAAGUCAUGAUGAACUCUGAACCGUCUGCAUGAUAUUUUUGCUAAUACUGGACGUUCAUAAAUUUUGCUGAUACGAGAACUUUUGCUUCCUAUCUGAAGUAAUUACUCCUCUUUGGAAAUAAUUAUUUUGGUUGGUCUGGAGGGACAUGAUAUCACUGAAUUGCAGGUUUCCGGGGAAACAAAUUCCCAAGCAAAGAUUUGAAGUGGGCUUUUGUUUUUUUCGGUGGCGAUGCAGCUCCUUUUCAAACUAGACAGGUCUUUAUUUUGAGAAUAUGAACUGAGGCUAUAAACAGGAGGAGGAAAUAGAGUAGGUUGAAUAUUGUAGCAGUUUCGUAUAUCCAUGUCUCAAUCUUGUCUUUCAAGAUUGACCUAGAAGAAAAAUAUCAGGAUGAAAAUGUCUCUAGAUUGGGUUAUGGAACUGUUAAUGAUUUGAACAUUGGAUGCAUUAAGAAGAUUAUAGUUUCGUAUUGGGGGUUGAAACGAGACAAUUUUACAAGUGCAUCUUAAGUUGCUAAUGAUGUCCACAAAUCCAAUAUCUGAAUGAGAAACAGAUGAUUGUGGAGUUUGUGUGGACAUCUUUAGGCUGACUCAGAUUGUAUCACGUGCAUUAAUAUCCUUAACUUAUGGAAUGGGAUAUUUUUAGGAGUUAGUAUCACGUGCAUCAAUACACUAGUAGGCGAUUACAUUACAUUUUUAGGUAUUUUUAGAAUGGGAUGGUGAAUCAUCAUGCGAUGAAACUGCAUUGGUAGAAGCAUUUGAAGGGCUAACUAAUGAUCAAAGGGCGUAUUCAUGUUCUAUGCCAAUGAGGUUCUUGGAGACGAGAUGUUGGUUGGAUCUGUUUUUCCGUCUCUUGUAGUCAGUCAGUCUGGGGCUCGGGCAAGUGUUUGUUUUCCAGGGUGCGGCCAUCUUAAAUUCUUAUUUAGUAUCAAACAGGAGGAAUUGGAAAGCGAAUCAAUUUUAAUAAAAAGGUGUUGUGCGAGUCCAGACGCCGUCUCUUAUUUAGUAUCAAAUGGAUGUACGCUCGGCAACCCUCACUUUAGGUCCUGUUCGGACCGCAAAAAAAUGCGCAAAAAAAGAAGUGCGGGGAAGCACUUUAAGUGUCAAUUUUCUUAUCAUCUAAUCUUAUAUAUUCUCCCAUUUUCUUGAUGGGAGCCUCAUCAUCCGCUGCUUUCUAUGGGAUUGAUGGAUGAUUAGUAUUAUAAUUGGUAGUAGGGUAGUAAGAAAGGAAUUGGAAUAUAUGUUGCUUAGGGAAUCAUGGAGGAAUAAAAGAACCACUAGUACACAACAGGAGGAGUGGGGCAGGGACAUUUAGAGUUCCCUCCCAUGUGAUGUAGAAUACAUUUUAUUCUACUGCUAUUCCUACUUUAUAUUAGGGGAGAAGGUAUUUACAAGGAUCAAGUGGAAACCGACGGGAACCACUCUAUACUGGGGGAGUGGGGGAUUUAAAAGGGUCAAGUGAAAAUUCGACGGAACUAAACCACCAUCAAUUCAAAUUGGUGUCUAUACAUCUGCUGACAAAAUAUUUUAGAAAACACUUGAUCUAUGUUCAAGUAGAAUCUUAAAAUUUGCUUAAUAGUCAUGGCUAUUACUACUGUAUUCGCGGAUGGAUGGAUGGAAAAGUGUUGCCUUUGAGGAGUUGGGGGAGUGGGGGAAAUUAGGCUAAGAGAUAAUAGAUAAAGGACAUUAAUAUUCGCACUCUUCAUUUAAUUUCAUUUACUUCAAUUCACUAAUUAAAGACAGCUUCUAAAAAAAUGCUACAGGCUAAUUCAAGAAGACAAUUGUUUGUUUGUUGGGUUCCUUGACCUUCCUUCAUCCCUGGGAUCGAGUGGUCCAUCGUACUAUUAACUGUCUUCGUUCCCUGUCUUUUACCUCCUGCGUCAUCACCCCACUUGAAUAUCUAUCUUUCCAUUUCACCAAUUUCAGACGGCGGUUAACAGUGCCGUGUGUGCGGGGGCGAUUUCGGUUUCCAAUUAUCGUUAUUAUAUUAUCAUAGCUAUUGCUGCUGCUUCAUUUUUCCUUCUUUUUCUCAUUUGAUCACCACCCACCAUCAUCAGAAUCUCUCCCGUUGAAAACUCAUACAAUACAAUACAAUACUCCUCUCUUAUACCAUUACUAUUUAGGGACGGACGACGGACGGACCCCAACCAUGGAUAACCACCACAAUGGAGGAGGAGGAGCUGUUACCGCCGCUGACCGCAUGCCUAAAACCAAGAUCGUCUGCAUUCUGGGUCCCGCUUCCCGCUCCGUUCCCAUGAUCGAAAAGCUCCUUCUCGCCGGCAUGAACGUCGCCCGCUUCAAUUUCUCCCAUGAAUCCCACGACUACCAUCAGGAGACCCUCGACAAUCUCCGUUCCGCCAUGGACAACACUGGCAUCCUCUGUGCCAUCAUGCUCGACACCAAGGUUCAUCCCUCCCUCCCUCCUUCCCCUUUCUCCCUUCCUUUAAAAAAAAAAAAAAAAAAAAAAACUGUGUCUACACACACACACCCACACAAGCUCUACAAGUAUGUACGGCAAAAAAAAAAAGAAAAUUGUUGGUCCCUGUAACCUUGUCCAAUAGAAAACAAAAGAAUUAUUGUAUCAUUUUUAUCUCAUGUACAUGUGCAUUUUUUUUCCCUCUAUCUCUCUCUUUUGAAUAAAUUAACAACUGCAAGUAGAGUUAGAUUUAAUGUUGAACGGAUUUUGUUCCAUAUGAUAUAAUCCACAAGUUUGGGAAGAUAAAUAUGAUAUUUCUAGUCUUUCAUAAACUGAAACAAGAAAAAUAAAAAACGUGCGAAAGAACUGUGAGCAGGUCACAAAAAUCAAUUAGUGUUUUUUUUUUGUUUGGAAAACUAUAAACAUUACUUAAAUCGUUUUCUUUGUGAAGAGUUGUUACGUUACGUGCUGAGAAAAGAAAUAAAUGCGAAUUGAACUCUUGGACUGGUCGGACCAUUAAUUAAUGGCUAUAUAACUUCAACCAUAAGACUUUGACCUUGGUUUUUGUCCAAAUGCACGGUUUUGGUUUCACUUCUAAAAUGUCUUUGCGUCCUUUUGAUGAAAGUGAAAUCAGUCGCCCUCCUUCAUUGAUUAUUCCGGUUUUAUACGAUCCAGAGUUCGCCAACAAUUUUGAUUAACCGAUGCAACUGUUUCCAAACUUAAAAAUUUUCAAAACAUUUUGCGUUAAACUACAAAUCAUCUAUAUACUUUUCAUUGCCUAUUGACGUUAAAGAGAGCUCUUUUCAAAAAUUUAGUUUUGGCAACUUUAUUUAUGGUAAUUUCUAAUCCACUGGAUACGGGGGGAAUGAUAUUUAGGCGCUAUUAAAGCUUCUUCCACGUAUCUAUUAUGUAUUUAUUUGGUAGUAUUUAAGGUUGUUAUUUUUAACAUAAAAAACAAUUCCGAGUGUGUCGGAGGAAACCCUGUGAAGUGAACAAGUACCUUUAUCGGUUAAAUGUACAAAAAAUUAUGAAAAAUAGACUGUGAAACCGACAUGCUCAAUAAAAGCAUAAUAUAUAUAUGUGUGUGUAUUGGACAAUACUUUAGUAACGAUAGUUAUGGUAACGAAAUAGUUUUUACCUAAUAUAACAGGUUGUUGCACUUUUGAUGACUAUUUGAUUUCUUGUUGGAUCUAUCCACUUAAAUAGAAUAACACCUAAAAAUAUGGAAGUAAGUUUUUCAUCUAAAAUAGUAAGUUAACCUUAAUAGAUUAUUAACUUUUAUACCUCAAAUGGUAAAUUAGAAUAAAUAGUAAACUUACUUUUUAAAUAAAUAAAUUACUACUUUAUAUCCCAAACUUACUUUUUAGAGAGUAAGUUUAGUUCAAAUAAUAGUAAGUUUUUAUACAUAAAUAGUAAUUCUUACUAAUAACAUGGUAAAUUUGAUUAAGGAUCAAAAUUUACUUUUUUUUUGGAAUACAUGUACAAUUUUACAUUAAAACCUUAUCUCAAACUAGUAUUAGGAAGUUUAUUUGAAAUAAUGAUAAGAUGUUUUAUUAAUGAUUAAAACUUAGUACCUUAGUUAGUAAGUACUCAUAAUAUACCUGUAUAAUAAAUGAUUAUGGGUAUAAUUUAAAAUUUUUUUGUAUUUAUAUAUUUUAAAAUACUAUGAAAAGUAGUUUCACUUUUCAGAUAACCUUGUAAAAUAUGUAAUAAAAUUUUGUCAUAUUAUAAGUUUUUAAUAAUUUUCAAUUUUUGAACAGUUUGAAAGUUUGGAUAACAAUAACAACAAAUCUUCCUAGCUAUAUAUAGAAUAUCACUUGUUUCUAUAUCACAAUUAUUAUAAUUUAACACCUAUGAAUAUAAUAAGAUAAUAAAGUUUUAAUAAAUUUAUAUCUGGGACACAAGAAUUAAUAAGAGUUAAAGCCCAAACAAAAUGAGAAAUAGUAUAUCAAUAAAAAUGACAAAAUUAGUAUAACGGUUAAUAUAAGAAAAUCAAUAUGAUCUGGACUUUUUUCCUUGGAAGAUUGUUCAUAAAAAUGAGAUUCAGCAAUUAAAUGAAAAUCACUUGCACAUAUAAUCUAUUGUAUAAUUUAAAUUAAAUUCAGUUCACGUAUAAAAUGGUUCUAAAAUAAUUAGGGCACUAUGAUACAAUGUUAUUUUAAUAACAAAUUUUUUUUUACUGAAAGUCUCAAAUAUCCAUGCCAUACAUAUGAGAGAUAUUUUACCAUAUUUGUGUCUAACUGUAAGCACAAAUUUCGUUGCCAAAAAUAAAAGACAUGAAAACUUGCACAAAUAUCAAAUUUAUUAAAUCAAAUAAUAAGAGAGUUACAAUCUCUAAAAAUUCUUGAAUCAAAGAAAUUAAUCCCCUAAUUCUUCUCUUAAAAAGCACUCCUAAUUAAAGCAUAAUAAAAUCAAGUUUUUUUUAACCUUUAAUGUAGUAGUUAUGUUUACUAAAAAAAUUAGUAAACCAUUCCUACAAUGCAUUGCUUCUCCUAAAAGUACUAAUAUUCUGUAAAUAAAUUGAAAUAAUUUUGUAAAAGAUUUUAUGCAUUUUCACUAAUAUAAUCAAGAGAAUUUUGCACCCUUAAAAUAUAAAUAGAAAGAAAGGAAAAUGGUAUGAGUAUAAAGGCGACCAAAUGCAAUAUAUAUCACAUCAGGUGUUUAGAUAUGAUUUGUUAAGUAAUCAAUAAUUUAGUCCUGAUCAAUAUAUGAUGCUUUCUUAUAAAUAAAAAUAUAAUUUGGCAAUUAUGGAUUAACAAAAUUCGUAGUUUGAAUGCAAUCAAUUGAGCACCUAUUUUCUUUUAUUAAGUAGCUAUUAUUUAUUUUAUUACUUAGGUUAUAUAUUUACAUUUAAAAUAACAACAAUAGCUUGCCAAUCCUUGAACCAAUAGAACGUCAAUUAUUGUUAACUAAACUAAUUUUACAUUGAUCAAAAUUAGUCUAGAAAAUGAAAUGUUAAUAGCAACAAUUGGUAAAAAAUAGCAAUCUUUUAAUUUUGGGAAAGUAAAAAAUAAGUUCCCAAAAUAUUUCACUUUUAUUUUUAAAAAAAUCUCAACUUGUUAAUUAAAUUCAAAAUGAUUUAUUAUAAAAAAUAUUCUUCCUCAAAUUAACAUCAAUGAUUAGACAUGAGAUACAAAUAUGGGAAAAAAAGAGAUAAAAAUAUGGUAAAAUAUCUCUCAUACAUAUGUCAUAGAUAUUGGAGACUUUUGGCAAAAAAAAUUUUUGUUGUUAAAAUAAUAUGGUAUUGCAGUGUGCUAAUUAUUUUAGGAUCAUUUUGUACAUGAACUAAAUUUAAUUUAAAUUAUACAAUAGAUUAUAUAUGCAUGUGAUUUUUGUUUAGUGGUUGGAUCUUAUAUUCGUGAACAAUAUCUAGAGAAAAAAAAUUUCAGAUUAUACUAAUUUUGUUAUUUUUAUUAUUGUAUUAAUUGUUACACUAUGUCUCUCAUUUUGUUAGAUCUAUAUUAAUACAAGUUUAAUUCUUAUUAUUUCUUGUGUCCCAAACAAUAAAUAUAUUAAAACUUUAUCAUCUUAACUAGGAAGAUGUGUUGUUAUUAUUAUCCAAACUUUUAAACUUUUCAAAAAUUAUUCAAAAUUAUAAUAUGAUAAAAUUUUAUUAUUUUAUAAGGUUAUGUGAAAGGUCAAAAUAUUUUUCACAUAAUAUUUUAAAAUAUAUAAAUACAAAAAAAAAUUAAAUUAUACAUAUAAUCAUGUAUUAUACAAGUAUAUUACGAGUACUUACUAACUAAGGUACUAAGUUUUAAUCAUUAAUAAAAUAUUUUAUUGUUAUUUCAAAUAAACUUCCUAGUAUUGGUUUGGUAUAAGUUUUUAAAGCAAAAUAGUACAUAUGUGCCAUAAAUUAGUAAGUUUUGGUCAUUAAUCAAAUUUAAUAUGUUAUAAGUAAGAAUUACUAUUUAUGUAUAAAAACUUACUAUUACUUGAACUAAACUUACUCUCUCAAAAGUAUGUUUGGGAUAUAAAAUAGUAAUUUAUCUCCUUAAAAAGUAAGUUUCAUAUUUAUUCCAAUUUACCUUUUGAGACACAAAAGUUACUAAUUAUUACGGUUAACUUACUAUUUUAGAUGAGAAACUUACUUCCUUAUUUUUAGGCAUUAUCCUAUUUAGGUGAAUAGGUCCAACAGAUAAUUAAAUGGUCGCUAAAAGUAUAAUAACCUGUUAUAUCAGGUAAAAACUGUUUAGUUAUCAUAACGAUAGUUACUACAGCAUUUUCCGUAUGUAUUACCUUCUAAUUAUUGUAUAUAUUUUUUAAUUUUUUUCUAACUGGGAAAGGGUAGAAUUUAUAAAAAUAAAAUAAAUAUCACUUAACGUGUUUGGACUCCUGAAUCCUUGUCAAAAAAGGAAAGCAAAAGAAAAAAAAAAAAAAAGUUCUCUAUCGUUACCUCAUCUAGAAGAAAUUGCAUAGCACACAAUAAUAUUAAUAUUAAUAUUAAUUUUGUGAACAUAUAUGUGUUCAUUGCUUGUAACUUGGAGACCAAGCUCGUCAGUAAAUCUAUACAUUUCUCUGGCAAACUCCAAACAGUAGAUUACCAUCCAAUCCUACUUCUUCUAUUGAAUCUAUUCUAUGACACCAAAACCAGCAUGAAUGGCAUAAACAAAGAAAACAAUCCCCAAAUCCCACGUGGCAUCACCCCUCCAAAUAGUAACCUCCACGUACCCAACCCCAACCUCCCUCCCUCGCUCCCUCGCUCCCUCUGGUAAAACCAGACGUGUAGAUGAAAGAUUAUGAGAUUUAGGUCACCUCACCCAUCCCACCCUCCCUCUCCCCACCCACAAACCCCUAACCCUAUACACAAGAAACAAUAGAAUUCAACCAUGGAUAACCACCACAAUGGAGGAGGAGGAGCUGGUACAGCCGCUGACCACAGGCCUAAAACCAAGAUCGUCUGCACUCUGGGUCCCGCUUCCCGCUCCGUUCCCAUGAUCGAAAAGCUCCUUCUCGCCGGCAUGAACGUCGCCCGCUUCAAUUUCUCCCAUGGAUCCCACGACUACCAUCAGGAGACCCUCGACAAUCUCCGCUCCGCCAUGGACAACACUGGCAUCCUCUGUGCCGUCAUGCUCGACACCAAGGUCCAUCCCUCCUCCCCCUUUCUCCCUUCCUUAAAAAAAAAAAAAAAAAAGUGUCUACACAGACACACCCACACAACCAUAGCCACACAUACUUGCACAUGGAAUUUCUCUUUGUAUCGGAUUGGUUGUUUGGUUGGUUGGUUUCUCACCAUCACUGUGUUUCUCCUUUUUUGGAUCUGUUGGAACUUAUAAGGCUUUUCCUUCCAUUUCCGUUUCUCACUGCAUGCUCUACUGUAUAUGGACAUUUGAGGAAGUACAAAUUCGUGGAAGAAUUGUGUCACUUUUCAUGAUGAUGGUGCUUGGUACUAAUUACUAGUACCAUCUCCUACCUUUUUUUGUUUCCCUUUCCUUUCGCGUUUUCUUCUUCAAUAGCUGCUUAACCGUAUACCCCUCCUACAUUUCUCUUCAGUAUUGUUGUUUCCUUCCUUCUUUCUCUCUGUGUAUCUGGUUGCCUUUUCCCUUACGUUCUCGGUUGUUUUCAAUUUCAUUUUUUGACCCAAAAAUAAUGAAGAAAAAAGCCGGCACUUGAAAUUCAUUCAGCCACUAUUAUGCCUGUGAUUAGAUCGUUGGUGUUUCCUGUCCACUCGUUUUCAUGCUUCUUUCAAAUGCACUAGGAUGCACCUUCCAGGUCAUCCAUGUCUAACGUAUCUACGUUGAGCUACUUCUUCUCGGACUUGACUCUCCACUCUGAAAGUUAAUUGGAAGAUGCCACUAUCGUAAUCAAAUUUGUUCAACAUAAAUUGGUUUGCUGCUUCACUUAACAUUCUUUAAACAGAUGUCUGGAGUCUUAAAGUGCGUUUGAUAAAACUGAAGUCUGAAAUCUAAAACUUGAAUCCAUUAAGUUAUUGAAUUGUUAAAUAUUAAAUAUAAUACAUUUGAGUGCAUAUCACAUUCAGUAAUAAGUGAAUAACUUGUCACUUAAUUUUAAGAGCAAGUUUUGCCUAGAAAAUUCAGCACCACUUAAUUAAUUUAGAUAUUCAAUUUUUCGUUAUCAAACGGUCUGAAUAUGUUAAGAUCUGAACCAUUAAGUUUAGGUGCUGAAUUGGAUUAUCAAACAGGGCUUUAGUUAUUAUCUAUGAGGCUGAGAUUGUUUUAGACGUAUUAUGUCACUUGCAAUAGGCAAAGCAAGUCUACGUUUGUUUUACAAAAUGGUAAAAUGAGAGAUUUUCUUCUUCUUGUUAUUCUUCACGGGGAAAAAAUUGGUAAUCCCCAUGUCAUGGUUCAGUUAAAUCUGAAAUUUUGGUUUUGCUGCAUGUCCAGCUUAUUUACAUAUUGGUUGUGUUGAACUGCCGAACUGAUACAGGCAUUGUUUGAGAAUAGUGUCAACCCAGACAAUGGAUUGUUUGAUUCCUCUUAACAGAUGUACCUGUUUCACAGGAGAAUAUGAGUUGUCAGUGUGGGUAGUAAUUUUAUCAUCAUUCCCUUCCUUUCUGUUUGUGCUUGUAAAAGUCCUUGUUUGGAGAACAGUUAUUGGCUUGUGAUGGUAUACAGAUCUAAAUUUCAACCAUCAAGCAUAAAUAAGUCAUUUGCUUGUAAGGAUUGUGAAUUAUGCCUUUUGGAUGAUAGGAAUUUAUAAUAAAUUGACCGUUGCCAUUACUAUUGGGAAUUUGGGCAGCUUUGUACUUCAUUUUAUUCUAGUUUUAGUUAGAUGCAUUAAUUUAUCCUUUCCCAAACCGUGGCCCUAUAGGACUUAUUUGUGAUGUCAGUCUAUAAUAGAGCCUGACGCACCUCUGAAAAACUAACAACUAGAGAGCAUGUGAUGAACUUUUGGGUUAAAAAAAAAUGGAAUCAAAUUCAAGAAUUUUUUUGGGUAUUUGGCAAGCAUGGUGGCAAGUUGACAGUUUGCAUGCAAGCUAAGAAUUAUUUGAUUCUGAUUAUGAGUAUCGUAUACAAUUUGGCAAUAUGCUGCAAUGUUGGGACAAGGAUCUUGACUGUUUAAUUUUGUAUAUUUUGCUUGGCCAGGGUCCGGAAAUUCGAACUGGGUUUUUAAAAGAUGGGAAGCCUAUCCAACUGAAACAGGGCCAGGAGAUCACUAUUUCCACUGAUUACAGCAUCAAGGGAGAUGAGAAUAUGAUCUGCAUGAGCUACAAAAAGUUGGCUGAGGAUGUAAAACCAGGAAGUGUAAUACUCUGCGCAGAUGGCACAAUCUCAUUUACUGUUUUGUCCUGUGACAAAGAACAGGGAAUUGUUCGAUGCCGCUGUGAAAAUACUGCUGUUCUUGGUGAGAGAAAGAAUGUCAAUCUCCCUGGUGUAAUCGUGGACUUGCCAACUUUGACAGAAAAAGACAAGGAAGACAUCUUGAAAUGGGGAGUUCCUAAUAAAAUCGACAUGAUUGCUCUCUCAUUUGUCCGGAAAGGUUCAGAUCUUAUUGAAGUCCGAAAGUUGCUUGGCGAACAUGCAAAAACUAUCCUUCUUAUGUCAAAGGUUUGUCGGAACUAAACUCGUUGCAAAGGUUACAUUAUACAUUUUUAUUCAAGAAGGUAGGUUAAGAGUAUUUUUGCCAGUGUCACAGGAACUUGGCUAUUUUUAUCACCUGUGCUUCUCACUUAUACACACGUGAAUGACCCAAAACAAUUUUAUAUUGUCUACUUAGUUUGAGAAAUAGUUGAAUGCACACGUAAAACAUCUAGAAGAAGAAAUGAAGAACGAGAGGAAGUUGUGGUUAUCUCUCCAAUAAUUAUUCUCUGAGCUGCUCUUGAAUGAGGUCUUAUCGUGUACAUUUUUUUUUUCAGUGAGGCCUCCUUUGAGUUUUAACAAUGUGGGCCAUAAACAAUCGGGUUUAUUUCUUAAAACAUGAGAGGAUUUGACUUUCAUAUGAUCCAGCAGUCAGCUGGAAAUGAUGGAAGUUAUAAUUGGACAUCAAGCAUGGAUAAGUGAAGGGUCUCAAGCUCAUAUCAAGAUUUUUGUUCACUGCCUCUAACACGGGCACAAAUGUCCCAUUCUUCCUAAUGUUUUGCAUUUGGCUGCUUUUGUAGGUGGAAAAUCAAGAAGGGGUGGCGAAUUUUGAUGAGAUUCUGGCUAAUUCUGACGCGUUUAUGGUAGCACGAGGUGACCUUGGAAUGGAGAUUCCUAUUGAAAAGAUAUUUUUGGCUCAAAAAGUAAUGAUUUAUAAGUGCAACAUCCAAGGGAAGCCAGUUGUAACUGCAACACAGAUGUUAGAGUCGAUGAUUAAAUCUCCUAGGCCUACACGGGCAGAAGCUACAGAUGUUGCCAAUGCAGUACUUGAUGGUACUGACUGUGUGAUGCUUAGUGGUGAGACGGCUGCGGGAGCUUAUCCAGAUCUUGCAGUCAGGACUAUGGCCAAAAUUUGCAUAGAAGCUGAAAGCACAAUUGAUUAUGGAGAUAUCUUUAAGCGGAUAAUGGCAAAUGCACCAGUCCCUAUGAGCCCAUUAGAGAGCCUUGCAUCUUCAGCUGUUCGAACAGCUAACUCAGCAAAAGCAGUUCUUAUUUUGGUUUUAACCAGAGGAGGGAGUACAGCAAAGUUGGUUGCCAAGUAUAGGGCUGGCAUGCCAAUACUAUCGGUGGUUGUUCCAGAAAUUAAGACUGAUUCUUUUGAUUGGUCAUGCAGUGAUGAAUCUCCAGCCAGGCAUAGCUUGAUCUUCAGGGGGUUGAUCCCUGUUCUGUGUGCAGGAUCUGCUAGAGCUUCUCAUGAGGAGUCAACUGAGGAGGCGUUGGACUUUGCACUUCAACAUGCUAAAACAAAAGGACUGUGCAAGGAAGGAGAUCCUGUUGUGGCCUUGCAUCGUGUUGGAACUGCUUCGGUCAUCAAGAUUGUGACUGUGAAGUGAUUUUUAUAUUCCGUUCGAGUAUUAACUCAUGGGUUGGUUGUUGGAAGGUCAAGGAAUAAAACCAUUCUGAUUCUGCUUUUUUUUUUUUCCACUCCAUCUCUAAUAGGGUUAUUGACGAUGGUUAUAUCCUUUCUGAUGUUUGCUUUAGUACUUUGUUAAACAUUGUUCAGAAAAACUUUUGCCAGCCCAAUGAGGUGGAUCUCGCAAUUUUUGGCUAUUUGAUACAUAAAUGACAUAAAAGUGAGACCGAGUUCUGGUCUUUUCGAGUGUUAAAUGGAGGCUUUGCUUUAUGAGAUUGGGAACGGUACGAUAUAGUUAGAGAAUACACUUGGGAGCAUACUUCAAAGUCCGGUCGUGGUCGUGGUUCGGACUGUUCUAUAUCGGUCUCGACGAGAUGCAAAUUUUUUGAAAUAUUUAAUAUUUUAAAAAUUAUGAAUAAUAUAAAAAAAUAUGAUAAAUAAAAAUAAUAAAAAUUUGAAUUGAUUCGGAAUGAUUCGGCAAAUCAUUAUCUCGGAAUCAUUUCGUUAUGAUAUCGGAGAGCUCCAUUUGGAUAACAAUUCGGCCGAGCCGUCUCGAACCAUGCCUGGGGCAGAGUCUUUGAACCAUGCCGGGGAGCUGUCCAGUUUGAAUUCUACAUCACUAAAGCUAUGAUACACUGGUGAAUGCGAAUGAGUUUGCAAAAACCACAUUGUUUUCUAUUUUUGUUAGGAUUAUAUUUUUUUAGGAUUUCGUCUAAAUUAGCCAAACUAAUAGAAGUGUAAAAUCUCCUCGUGGUAUUAUCUGCAUAGGGACAUGAAUGGCGCUCUCUCUCUCUCUCUCUGCGCUAUAGCAUUUAAGCAGAUUGGUAUUCAUCAAUUUCGUCCUGCUGGCCUAGGUUAAACCACACCCUUUUUAAGUGGUUCCUACAAACCAUACGAUUGUAUUUUGUUGACAAAUGCGGUUAAACUUCAAUCAGAAUUUCAUUCGCAGCUCAGAACUGGGUCCAUGAAAAAAAAAAAGAAAGGUCUCAGAAGAUACAACAUAAGCCACGCGUUUAGUCCUCUGGCAGAAACUCAAAUUCACCAGUAGCCAAAUAAAGGAAAGAAGGAAAGGACCAACAAAGGGCUUUGCUAUUCAUCAGAUGAGCCGUUUGUUUCCAAAGCUAACUCUAAUUUUCUGCCACUGCGGCUCCCUUGCCUUGAUUAGUGCUAGUCUAACCGCUUCUAUGAGUUCUAUCUAUCAAAAGGGCAUGACUUGCUUGGCAAUUUACUCUCAGGCAGGAAAUGAAGACAUCGGUGUAAGUAAAGCACAUACUAAAAGACAUCAAUUUUGCUUGCAUCUUUGGAAAAUUAGACAGUUUGAAAACGAAAUAUGUAUUAUGUACCCUUUUCUUCAGCCAAAAAAGAAUGACUUGAAGUUCCAACUUCCAACGGAAAAUAGAACUACAGCAACCAUAUAUUGGAACGAAGAAAACUUACUUUAAUCAUAAAUGUCAAAAUUUCACAGAACCAACACUGUCAGCUAGCUUCAAAUGGGACAUCCAUUUUUAAGUAUGGAACUUUAGAUAAUUCACAAGAUCCAUCAACUUGAAGAAAUCUCGCAUCCACGAAAUUGGAGAUAAUAUUCCACCACAGAUACAAAAAAGAACCCAACCCCCCAAAAAAAAAAACACAAAAAAAAGGUUUAACUUCUCCAGAUAAAUUACUAUAGCAUAUAAAAACGAAAUAUACUCACAUGUUCACAAUUAAUUAACAGGGUGGCGGUUUAUGUACAAAAAGGGAAAAAGAGAGAGAAAUCCAAGCAACAUAAAGGCCAUACAUCUGAUAAUAAAGAUUAUAAUCACAAACUUAGUUAUCAUUUGUCUCAGAACUACGUUGGGAUGUAUUAUUGGAUGACUCAGGUGUAUUAUUGGAUGACUCAGGUGUUGAAGAUGAAUUACCAUUGCCGGAUGAAAACAAACUGCUAAAAGGCCACGGAAGUGGUAGAGAGAAGCGUCUUGUAUUUUCACUCCUUCCACCCCGUUCUCCACCUUCACUUCCACUAGCGGCAGCAUUAUUGCCUCCUGCAUCAUUGUUAUUGCUACCAUUCCUAGACACCCUUGACUCCAGUUUUGAUUCAUCUGAAGGUAACUGAUAGCGACAAACAGGGCACGAGCUAUGAAGUUCCAACCACGGUAGAAUACACCCAAUAUGGAACCUAUGCU
rnacentral:lncRNA from 1 species